rnacentral:rRNA from 2 species
GGAAGGCCCUUCGGGGUACUCGAGCGGCGAACGGGUGAGUAACACGUGAGCAACCUGCCCCAGGCUUUGGGAUAACCCCGGGAAACCGGGGCUAAUACCGAAUAUGACCUCUGACCGCAUGGUUGGUGGUGGAAAGUUUUUCGGCUUGGGAUGGGCUCGCGGCCUAUCAGCUUGUUGGUGGGGUGAUGGCCUACCAAGGCGACGACGGGUAGCCGGCCUGAGAGGGCGACCGGCCACACUGGGACUGAGACACGGCCCAGACUCCUACGGGAGGCAGCAGUGGGGAAUAUUGCACAAUGGGCGGAAGCCUGAUGCAGCGACGCCGCGUGAGGGAUGACGGCCUUCGGGUUGUAAACCUCUUUCAGCAGGGACGAAGCGUAAGUGACGGUACCUGCAGAAGAAGCGCCGGCCAACUACGUGCCAGCAGCCGCGGUAAGACGUAGGGCGCGAGCGUUGUCCGGAUUUAUUGGGCGUAAAGAGCUCGUAGGCGGCUUGUCGCGUCGACCGUGAAAACUUGGGGCUCAACCCCAAGCCUGCGGUCGAUACGGGCAGGCUAGAGUUCGGUAGGGGAGACUGGAAUUCCUGGUGUAGCGGUGAAAUGCGCAGAUAUCAGGAGGAACACCGGUGGCGAAGGCGGGUCUCUGGGCCGAUACUGACGCUGAGGAGCGAAAGCGUGGGGAGCGAACAGGAUUAGAUACCCUGGUAGUCCACGCUGUAAAC